AUUGAACGCUGGCGGCAGGCUUAACACAUGCAAGUCGAGCGGGGAAGGGUAGCUUGCUACCUAACCUAGCGGCAGACGGGUGAGUAAUGCUUAGGAAUCUGCCUAUUAGUGGGGGACAACAUUCCGAAAGGAAUGCUAAUACCGCAUACGCCCUACGGGGGAAAGCAGGGGAUCUUCGGACCUUGCGCUAAUAGAUGAGCCUAAGUCAGAUUAGCUAGUUGGUGGGGUAAAGGCCUACCAAGGCGACGAUCUGUAGCGGGUCUGAGAGGAUGAUCCGCCACACUGGGACUGAGACACGGCCCAGACUCCUACGGGAGGCAGCAGUGGGGAAUAUUGGACAAUGGGCGAAAGCCUGAUCCAGCCAUGCCGCGUGUGUGAAGAAGGCCCUUUGGUUGUAAAGCACUUUAAGCGAGGAGGAGGCUACCGAGAUUAAUAUUCUUGGAUAGUGGACGUUACUCGCAGAAUAAGCACCGGCUAACUCUGUGCCAGCCGCCGCCGUAAUAC
rnacentral:rRNA from 1 species